rnacentral:lncRNA from 1 species
CGGGCCUCACACUCGCAUCAACACAUGGCCAUUAUCAGUACACUCGGUCAGAAGCAGAGAUGGACACAUCAGGCCUUGCCAGCUUUUCAGAACUCGUGGAAUAACAGCAAAUUCAGAAGCUAUGAGUUUCUUGUCAGGAGGCUGACAGGUCCUGGAGUUGCUGGAAAGAUGACGCGAUGAUUCAGAGUGCAGGCUGUUCUCUCGACGACCCAGGUUCAGUUCUCUACACCCACACGGUAGCUCACAACAGCUGUAAUUCCAGUUCCAGGCACCUCUUCUGGCCUCUGCCAGCACAGUGCACAGUGGCGCACAGAUGUGCAUGCAAGCAAAAUACUCAUCAUGUAAAACAUGUAAAAGUUAAAUAGGUUAUGGGUCUAGAACCUGGACUGAGUGGUAGAGCCCUGGG